AAAAGUUGUUGGAUUGAAUUUCUCAGUGAGUUGCUGUUUUCAAUAUGUAUUGAUAACUCAACAAAUGGGAGUUAGUAGUACAUGAAAAUGUGUCGUCACAGAGUUAUCAAUAAACAAACUCUGAAGAGACAGUUAAAGACUUCUUCAGAGAAUCUUGGGAACCAUGUCCUCUACCUGUGAAAAUAGGCUGCCUCCACUGAAGUUGCUCAAAUUUACCUCAGCACCUGACUGUCUCUUGAGUCUCACUCAACUGCAAGGAAAGGGAAGUUACUCUUUCCAGGUCUGACGCUAGCCCACUUGCUGUCAAAGUUCCUCCACUUCGUCUAUGACACAAAUGUUCUUUGGGAUGCUGCUUUUCAGCUGUAAUCCUCUGCUUCAUUGCAUUUUUGCUAAUACAACUCUGUGUCCUGAGACAGCAGAAAGGACCAUCACAUUUUCUGUGGGCUGCAGAGAGAGAAGAGAAAGGUUCCAUCAAAGGAGUGUUUUGUGAAGAAGACAAAGUGAAAUAGGACCUUGGGAAAUGGAGGUGGAGGUGCUGCAAACCUGUAUGCUGUCCUUUUGUUGAAAGAAGUCACAGUGUCCGGGCCAGAAGACAGGAAGCUAAUGCUGAGGGAGAACAUAAAUAUCAAAAUGCAGACAUGAUGAGCUCUCCACCGAGGUUCUGGAUUUCUGCUUUAACUUGACUGCAGAUUUUGAGCUGAUGGGAGUACAGCUUGACCUGUUCUAGGAAAAUCCCAAGAGAUGGAUAGAUAGGGUGCCCAGACAGUGUCCCAGCCACUUCAAAUCGUGACAAUGUCAAUUACAGAAGUUCAGAUACAAGAAUAUUUUAACCUUAUUGUAUACUACUCUCUAUAUUGGCAGGCCAGUCACAUUUACUAUCCUUCCUACAUAUCAUUAGAGAAGACACGUAACAUUUUAGGAAUGCUGAAGAAGACAUGCAUCAAAGACUAGGAAACUGUCGCUCAAGAACAAGACCUUGAGCUUAAAAUAGGUCUGUGGAAACACUGGUUCAGUGCUCAGUAGCAUUAAAUAAAAGCAAAUGCUAGGCAUUAUUAGGAAAAGACCUCUGAAUUGUAAUUAUGCAACUGUACCACUCAGUGCUAUACCCACAGCUUUACUACCCCGUGUAGGUGCGGUGCAUCUUUCCCCUCUCUUGCUCAUUACAAGGCACAUAAGAAAACAGGAAAAGGACAACAAAGAUUUUAAUGAAGACAGGUAUUGUUUUCUCCAAUACAAAGCUAAGAGGUCAUUAAAAGUUCAAAACAAAAGGAGACUGUUCUUAACACUGUGUUGUAAAGUUGCAGAUAUCUUUGCUGCAGAGUGGUUAUACAAAAAGCUUACAUGCAUUAAAAAAAAUUACUGGACAAAAUAACGAAAAAUAUCAACAUCUAUUUAAUGCAUCAAGUGUAUCAAAAAUAUGUUUGGUUAAGUAAAUUCUUGUAUGGCUGCUGGAGGUUGGGAGACCAUUUUGUGGAUGUGUCAUGAAACACAUGCCGUUAUCUCACCAAGUUCCGUACAUAAUCACUAUUAACUCUUGUCAGCAACGGGAAUAUUGGCUUGAAUGAACCUACGGACUCAUCAAGUGUGCUCCUGUUUUCGUACUUAACUCAUAAAACUUUACAGAUAAGGCAGGGACCAACACAAUACAAAGAGGCUUUUACAGAGGUAAAGAUAACAUUCUACACUACUUUAAGCAGGAUGAAGUACUACAAAAGAAUUAAAGCCUCAUGCCAUACAGCAUAUCCAAAUCAACCAUAAACAGAUGUUAGAAAUGAAUGUGAUCUGUAGAGAGGAUAUUCCGUAAGGAAUCUUCUACAUACUGCUCAGAAGCAUCUGGUACAAGCAACACUUGCUUACUAGUGAAAACAAACACUACGCUGAAACAGAAGGACAAUUAAUAAAUUCUGAGUUUAAUCAUUCCAGAGGCAAUUGAUGGUUACUAGUUUAAUGCCUCACAUUCUAUUCUUAGCUAGAGACCCUGGCAAAUGAUGAGAGGUUCUUUCCCAUAGAUACCGAAGGUAGUGGGGUGUUCAC